AGUGAACGCUGGCGGCGUGCCUAAUACAUGCAAGUCGAACGAAGUGGCGAACGGGUGGGUAAUAUGUAGAUAAUCUGCCCUAUACAGAGGAAAAACAGGUGGAAAAGAACGCUAAUACAUCAUAGUGUAGGAUGUGACUAUAUCGUAUCAGCUAGGUGGUAAGGUAAUGGCUAACGAAGGUUAUGACGCGUAACUGGUCUGAGAGGAUGAUCAGUCACAUUGGAACUGAGACACGGUCCAAGCUCCUACGGGAAGCGACAGUAGGGUAUCUGGCGCAAUGCGCGUGACCCUAACGCAGCAUCGCCGCGUGGAGGAUGACAGUUUUCGGAGCGUAAACUCCUUUUAUCAUGAAAGCGGUACCUGAUGAAUAAGCACCGGCUAACUCCGUGCCAGCAGCCGCGGUAAUAC
rnacentral:rRNA from 1 species